AUAGAACGCUGGCGGCAUGCUUUACACAUGCAAGUCGAACGGUAACAGGUUAAGCUGACGAGUGGCGAACGGGUGAGUAAUGCAUCGGAACGUGCCCGAUCGUGGGGGAUAACACUUCGAAAGAAGUGCUAAUACCGCAUACGAUCUGAGGAUGAAAGCGGGGGACCGUAAGGCCUCGCGCGAUCGGAGCGGCCGAUGUCAGAUUAGGUAGUUGGUGGGGUAAAGGCUCACCAAGCCGACGAUCUGUAGCUGGUCUGAGAGGACGACCAGCCAACCUGGGACUGAGACACGGCCCAGGCUCCUACGGGAGGCAGCAGUGGGGAAUUUUGGACAAUGGGCGCAAGCCUGAUCCAGCAAUGCCGCGUGCAGGAAGAAGGCCUUCGGGUUGUAAACUGCUUUUGUACGGAGCGAAAAGGCUCCCUCUAAUACAGGGGGCUCAUGACGGUACCGUAAGAAUAAGCACCGGCUAACUACGUGCCAGCAGCCGCCGCAG
rnacentral:rRNA from 1 species